GGUAAGGCCUACCAAGGCGACGACGGGUAGCCGGCCUGAGAGGGUGACCGGCCACACUGGGACUGAGACACGGCCCAGACUCCUACGGGAGGCAGCAGUGGGGAAUAUUGCACAAUGGGCGCAAGCCUGAUGCAGCGACGCCGCCUGAGGGAUGACGGCCUUCGGGUUGUAAACCUCUUUCAGUAGGGAAGAAGCGUAAGUGACGGUACCUGCAGAAGAAGCGCCGGCUAACUACGUGCCAGCAGCCGCGGUAAUACGUAGGGCGCAAGCGUUAUCCGGAAUUAUUGGGCGUAAAGAGCUCGUAGGCGGUUUGUCGCGUCUGCUGUGAAAGACCGGGGCUCAACUCCGGUUCUGCAGUGGGUACGGGCAGACUAGAGUGCAGUAGGGGAGACUGGAAUUCCUGGUGUAGCGGUGAAAUGCGCAGAUAUCAGGAGGAACACCGAUGGCGAAGGCAGGUCUCUGGGCUGUAACUGACGCUGAGGAGCGAAAGCAUGGGGAGCGAACAGGAUUAGAUACCCUGGUAGUCCAUGCCGUAAACGUUGGGCACUAGGUGUGGGGGACAUUCCACGUUUUCCGCGCCGUAGCUAACGCAUUAAGUGCCCCGCCUGGGGAGUACGGCCGCAAGGCUAAAACUCAAAGGAAUUGACGGGGGCCCGCACAAGCGGCGGAGCAUGCGGAUUAAUUCGAUGCAACGCGAAGAACCUUACCAAGGCUUGACAUGAACCGGUAAUACCUGGAAACAGGUGCCCCGCUUGCGGUCGGUUUACAGGUGGUGCAUGGUUGUCGUCAGCUCGUGUCGUGAGAUGUUGGGUUAAGUCCCGCAACGAGCGCAACCCUCGUUCUAUGUUGCCAGCGGUUCGGCCGGGGACUCAUAGGAGACUGCCGGGGUCAACUCGGAGGAAGGUGGGGACGACGUCAAAUCAUCAUGCCCCUUAUGUCUUGGGCUUCACGCAUGCUACAAUGGCCGGUACAAAGGGUUGCGAUACUGUGAGGUGGAGCUAAUCCCAAAAAGCCGGUCUCAGUUCGGAUUGGGGUCUGCAACUCGACCCCAUGAAGUCGGAGUCGCUAGUAAUCGCAGAUCAGCAACGCUGCGGUGAAUACGUUCCCGGGCCUUGUACACACCGCCCGUCAAGUCACGAAAGUUGGUAACACCCGAAGCC
rnacentral:rRNA from 1 species